rnacentral:rRNA from 1 species
CUUUAACGGAGAGUUUGAUCCUGGCUCAGGACGAACGCUGGCGGCGUGCCUAAUACAUGCAAGUCGAGCGGACUUGAUGGAGUGCUUGCACUCCUGAUGGUUAGCGGCGGACGGGUGAGUAACACGUAGGUAACCUGCCCAUAAGACUGGGAUAACCCACGGAAACGUGAGCUAAUACCAGAUAGGCAUUUUCCUCGCAUGAGGGAGAUGAGAAAGGCGGAGCAAUCUGCCACUUAUGGA